UUCCGGUAGGUGGUCAUGGUUAUC
rnacentral:piRNA from 1 species